ensembl:lncRNA
GGAAGCUGCGCGGGGCGGGAGCGCCCCUGGCUUCACCUGAGGGGCCGCGGGGCGGCCCCAAGGAGCUGCCGCUGCGCCCGCCGCCCCGCCACCUGCCCGGCGAAUGCGGCGCCGGGAGGGCGACCCUCGUGCCCGGAGGCCGGAGCGAAGCAGCCUGGCCACCGCCGUCCGGGGUUUGUGUGCAGACAUCCUCAGGUGGGGCGGAGAGAGGCCCCCGCGUUCCCUCUGAGAUCGGCGUUGUUAAGGAGACAACCAGCAGGACGAGGUCCCGCGGAGAAAGCGUUGCCUCCAGAGCUUGCCGGUGUUUUGUUCCCCCUGGUUUCUGCGAGGCACAGCUGUGGCUUUAUUCCAGCGUCACAUCGCGUCCAUUGGUAUCAGAGUCAAUAAGAUCAGUACUUACAUACAUUGGCUCUGGGAGGAGCGCAUCUGCCGAGGCGCCAUGCAUGACACAGUGGCAGCACGUCGUGUCUGCUGGAGCGAUCAGUGUCACCCAUGGCCAGCUACACGACCUAGGGAGUGUGCACAGAGGAUAUUUGCUGCUUCUGAAGUUCUGGAGAUCUUUUUUUACAGAAUCAUGAAAUCAUUUGAUCUGGAAGGGCUCCCCAAAGGCCACCUAGUGCAAAUGCCCUGCAAUGAACAGGGACACCUACAGCAGAUCAGGGUGCUCAGAGCCCCCUGCAGCCUGACCUUGCAUGUCUGUGUCGAUGGGCACCCACCACCUCUCUGGGCAACCUGUUCUAGUGCUUCACUGCCCUUAUUGUAAAUAACUGCUUCCUUAUGUCCACUCUAAAUCUCCCCUCUUUUAGUUUGAAACCAUUUACCCUUGUCUUGUCACAACAGACCCUACUAAAGAGUCCUGCUCUGGGUUUGUUCCCCUUUGCCUUGCUCCCAGCCUGGCUGUCACAAGCAUCCUUCUGUUGGCUGUCCGUAAGGCCUUCCAAAAUUCCUCAGCUCAUCUCUUUGUGUCAAGGCCAAAUGGUGCCAACAAAUUGCCUGCUGCUCCUGCAUCCCUCCCUGUGCUCCUGCAAUGCAUGAGGUCCAGUCCUGGAAUGCGUGGAGAGUUGUAGGGAGGAAAUAAAGCUGGUUCGUUGGUAGCCAGCUUCUGGAGUCAAACAAUCCACCACUGUUUUGUAUCAUGCUACCAGGAGAAUUAUCUUUAGCUAUGAAACAAGAGCCCUGAGCAACUGUAGGUAUGGAGGAAGCCACGACACAUUUCUCACAAGAUGAGAGGUGAUAAAAUGAAUAUUUACAUGCUGGUUUGCACUCUGCCUCUCUACAUUAUCUCUUCAUUUUCAGCUGGGCAAGCCCUGAAGUGAUCUGGUUUGCUGGUAAAUCUGUCCUGAGCUGCUUCCUCAGCACAACUGCUGCUUGCUUUCUUCCCCAUCAGAGGCACAUGAAGAAACUCCCGUUCCUUCUGUGGUCCUUGGCUAUGCCAUAGUUACAUGUGCUGCUUUUACAUCUUCACUGCAACAUCUGCUUCCCAUUUCAUAACACAGGAAGCCAAUUCUUGUGGAUGGUGAACAAACCAUUGACAAUCCCAUGGAGGGAAUUUUCCUGCAUCGGGUACAUGUGCACUGUCUGCAGAUCAGACUUCUUACUCACUUUACCUUCCAUCACUGCAGUCACAUUCAUGGAUUGCCCCUGGCCUGACAGACUUUAACUAUCUGCAAAGGAGUGCUCUAAAUUUAAUUUGCAUGCAGGAAUUGGUAAGACCUAAAUUUUACAACAAGGCUCCCUGGACUGACACAGCAAUGCUGAAUGCUACUCUGGUAUGAUGGGGUAAUUAAUCAGUUGCUGGAAACCUUCAACAUGCACUGAACAUCACCCUAGAAAUGAAACAAAGGGGAAAGUUUUGAUAAGCAGAGAUGAAGGUGCGGAAAGAGGACAGGGCAAGAGGAAGAACGUUGCACGAGGAAGAACCUGGCAGAGGCCAAUCAGUCAAAAAAAAAAGGAAAAACUGUGGCAAGGAAGUAUAUCUAAGGAAGCAAAGAAGGAAAAGAUGCAACUGCUCACCUGGCUGCCACAUCAUUUUCUUUGUCCCACGUGUACCAAUACCAAGAAAACAGGAACAAAAAAUUGAGGCUGAAGGACUGGACAAUCUGUGUCAGUCAUUUAAAUGAAAAAAUAAAGUUCAUUUCCAGUUUGCAAACUUGCAUUACUUACCACAGGCUUUGCUGAGAUGUGGGACCAAACAAUUAAAUUAUUAAAAUAUUGCUUGACAAAGUAGAAAUGUUCUGUCACUAUUGUUUUUCAGUAAGUGCGUUUUCCAAGGCAGCGAACAACUCAGUUUAGAAUAUAAAAAAAAUAUUAAAAUGUAUUCUAUGUCUGUCUAAUAAUAGUAAUCUAUCUGAGGACCAAACAAAAUAAGUAACACCAUCUACUUCCCACUGAGUAAGAACCUGCAAUACAAGAGUAAGAACUUGCACAUUGUUCAAAAAAGAAAAACCUAAG